rnacentral:lncRNA from 1 species
GAUAUUGUUAAACUUUUCCUUAGUACGAUUAUCAAGCGAUUCGAGUUUAAACUUUCUCACGUUUAACCGACGAAUAACCGACAUGUCAUCAGAAUGGAUUGGUUAGGGCUGUUGGAAACUAGUGAAGAUUUGGCGCUUAUGUUAACUUACGGUGAAUGGAUAUUCGAUAUCCAGUCUCUUACUACAGGAUUUUAUUACAGAGAUACUCCACUCUCGUCCACUCUUGAACCUUCCGCGAACACAACGAUGCCGCCAAUUAACUUUCUCUAACUAGGAUGUGUGGCAACUGGAAAACUAAAGCGAAAAUUUCAAGAAAUUAAUAGUCUACUGUUAGCUGAAAGACGGGGAAAGAUAUCCAAAAGUUCAUCAUUCAUGACAAGAGGCAGAUCUAUUAAAAGAAAAUCAAAUUUUCUGUACAAGAACUUUAGUGAACAUACGCAACUUUAUACAGCUCAUUAAUUGCCGCUUCGUCGAAACUAAUUACUAGAAUGAACAAAAGGGUGUCAUUAUUGCUUCGUAGGAUUUCAGUCAAACGUGGUAAUCGUGGAGGAAUCUUUUGGCUCCGUCAGUAGGUGGCUAAAAUCAAGUUGUCCCUCAGCCGCCAGAUGACGUGAGUGUCUUUGAGGGGACGAAAUAUUCGCCAUUUUGUUCCGAAACGCCAAGUGAAAAGGCAAUCUGGCAUAUAAUUUCCAAUUGGCCAAAUAAUCGAUCACGUUGACUGAAACUGCUUUCCAUUUUGCCGAAAUGUCGCCCGUUGUAGGCUUUACCUGUUCGGAUGUACGUCUCAACUCACGCAGAAACUCUACAGAGGUUGGAGAUCCUGUUGCUUAACUGUUGCAGAAUGUGAGAACUCAACAAAGUCUGAGCUCCGUGGCUGGUGUCAUGACCACAGUCAGUGGUUUUGUUGCAGCCAGCUGGUGAAAGGCAUGAUCAAGUCAGGUUGAGCUGCAGCUGCUGUGUGCAGUUUAUCGAGCUGGUGUUAUCCUGAAGUGUCAUUGCAGGAAGACUUUUUGAAAUGGACUUGGUGGUACUUAAACUAUGCCUGUGGCCUGUGCUGUUCAAUGUGCAGUGGUUUUGCAGCCGGUUUCCAGUUUAAGAGAUGUGAUUAUGCAGCUGAUACAGGAUGGAAGAAAAAGAAAUGAAAUAGCUGUGCUGGUGUUCAGCUGAAAUUGCUGUGCCACAAGAGUUGCAGAUAGUGUUUGGUUCCUCAUAGAAGUCGAUAGAAGUUUAUUUAAAGAGUCUGGAGAUGAUCAGCCACUUCUGCUAAUAGGCUAACUUGUGUAAAACUUCAAAGUUGUAAGAAAUACACAAGUCAAGUGCUAAACAUGAUUUUAA